UACGGAGGGUGCAAGCGUUAUCCGGAUUCACUGGGUUUAAAGGGUGCGUAGGUGGGCUGGUAAGUCAGUGGUGAAAUCUCCAGGCUUAACUUGGAAACUGCCAUUGAUACUAUCAGUCUUGAAUACCGUGGAGGUCAGCGGAAUAUGUCAUGUAGCGGUGAAAUGCUUAGAUAUGACAUAGAACACCAAUUGCGAAGGCAGCUGGCUACACGAAUAUUGACACUGAUGCACGAAAGCCAGGGGAGCAAACGGG
rnacentral:rRNA from 1 species